rnacentral:rRNA from 1 species
GGCUCAGGACGAACGCUGGCGGCGCGUCUUAAGCAUGCAAGUCGAACGGCAAGAGGUAGCAAUACCUCCUAGAGUGGCGGACUGGUGAGUAACACGUGGGUGACAUACCCUUCAGAUGGGGAUAGCUAUUAGAAAUAGUAGAUAAUACCGAAUACGAGCACAAGGGUUAGAGAUCUGUGAGGAAAGGAGCUAAGGCUCCGCUGAAGGAAUGGCCUGCGGCCCAUUAGCUAGUUGGUGAGGUAAGAGCCCACCAAGGCGAUGAUGGGUAUCCGGCCUUAGAGGGUGAACGGACACAUUGGGACUGAGAUACGGCCCAGACUCCUACGGGAGGCAGCAGCUAAGAAUAUUCCGCAAUGGACGAAAGUCUGACGGAGCGACGCCGCGUGGAUGAAGAAGGCCGGAAGGUUGUAAAAUCCUUUUGAAACUGAAGAAUAAGCGUUGUAGGGAAUGACAGCGUGGUGACAGUAGGUUUUGAAUAAGCAACGGCUAAUUACGUGCCAGCAGCCGC